rnacentral:lncRNA from 1 species
GUUUUUGUCACAAAUAUAGCCUAUAAGAAUAAAAAUGACCAAAAUAGCAUUUAAUGUUUUAUCAAAAGAGAUAAAUAUACACUUAUACUCCAAUGGUAAAUUAAUUUAGACAUUAGUAUUUAGAGUUAAGGGAUGGGGUUUAAGAUUUAGUGUUUAGGGUUUAGGGUUUAGAGUUAAGAGGUGAAGUUUAGGAUUUAGGGUUUAGGGUUUAGAGUUGGGGAGUGGAGUUUUGGGAAAAGAUUUCAAAUUUUAAAAAAUAAAAAAAAAUUAAAUUUUUCAAAAGAUAAAAUAAUAUUUUGGUCAUUUUAGUAUCUGAAAAU